UACGUAGGGGGCAAGCGUUGUCCGGAUUUAUUGGGCGUAAAGAGCGUGUAGGCGGCCAGACAGGUCCGUUGUGAAAACUGGAGGCUCAACCUCCAGACGUCGAUGGAAACCGUCUGGCUAGAGUCCGGAAGAGGAGAGUGGAAUUCCUGGUGUAGCGGUGAAAUGCGCAGAUAUCAGGAAGAACACCUAUGGCGAAGGCAGCACUCUGGGACGGUACUGACGCUGAGACGCGAAAGCGUGGGGAGCGAACAGG
rnacentral:rRNA from 1 species